UACGUAGGGGGCUAGCGUUGUCCGGAAUCAUUGGGCGUAAAGCGCGUGUAGGCGGCCCGGUAAGUCCGCUGUGAAAGCCCAGGGCUCAACCUUGGAACUGCCUUUGAUACUGGGCAUCUUGAGUAUGGGAGAGGUGAGUGGAACUCCGAGUGUAGAGGUGAAAUUCGUAGAUAUUCGGAAGAACACCAGUGGCGAAGGCGGCUCACUGGCCCGGUACUGACGCUGAGGUGCGAAAGCGUGGGGAGCAAACAGG
rnacentral:rRNA from 1 species